UUCCGGUUGAUCCUGGGGAGGCCACUGCUAUGGGGGUCCGACUAAGCCAUGCGAGUCAUGGGGCGCGCUCUGCGCGCACCGGCGGACGGCUCAGUAACACGUCGGUAACCUACCCUCGGGAGGGGGAUAACCCCGGGAAACUGGGGCUAAUCCCCCAUAGGCCUGAGGUACUGGAAGGUCCUCAGGCCGAAAGGGGCAUCUGCCCGCCCGAGGAUGGGCCGGCGGCCGAUUAGGUAGUUGGUGGGGUAACGGCCCACCAAGCCGAAGAUCGGUACGGGCCAUGAGAGUGGGAGCCCGGAGAUGGACACUGAGACACGGGUCCAGGCCCUACGGGGCGCAGCAGGCGCGAAACCUCCGCAAUGCGGGCAACCGCGACGGGGGGACCCCCAGUGCCGUGGCAUCGCCACGGCUUUUCCGGAGUGUAAAAAGCUCCGGGAAUAAGGGCUGGGCAAGGCCGGUGGCAGCCGCCGCGGUAAUACCGGCGGCCCAAGUGGUGGCCGCUAUUAUUGGGCCUAAAGCGUCCGUAGCCGGGCCCGUAAGUCCCUGGCGAAAUCCCACGGCUCAACCGUGGGGCUUGCUGGGGAUACUGCGGGCCUUGGGACCGGGAGAGGCCGGGGGUACCCCUGGGGUAGGGGUGAAAUCCUGUAAUCCCAGGGGGACCGCCAGUGGCGAAGGCGCCUGGCUGGAACGGGUCCGACGGUGAGGGACGAAGGCCAGGGGAGCGAACCGGAUUAGAUACCCGGGUAGUCCUGGCUGUAAAGGAUGCGGGCUAGGUGUCGGGCGAGCUUCGAGCUCGCCCGGUGCCGAAGGGAAGCCGUUAAGCCCGCCGCCUGGGGAGUACGGCCGCAAGGCUGAAACUUAAAGGAAUUGGCGGGGGAGCACUACAAGGGGUGGAGCGAGGGGUUUAAUUGGAUCAACGCCGGAAAU
rnacentral:rRNA from 1 species